rnacentral:rRNA from 1 species
AGCGAACGCUGGCGGCAGGCCUAACACAUGCAAGUCGAACGAAGUCUUCGGACUUAGUGGCGGACGGGUGAGUAACACGUGGGAACGUGCCUUUAGGUUCGGAAUAACUCAGGGAAACUUGUGCUAAUACCGAAUGUGCCCCUCGGGGGAAAGAUUUAUCGCCUUUAGAGCGGCCCGCGUCUGAUUAGCUAGUUGGUGAGGUAAAGGCUAACCAAGGCGACGAUCAUUAGCUGGUCUGAGAGGAUGAUCAGCCACAUUGGGACUGAGACACGGCCCAAACUACUACGGGAGGCAGCAGUGGGGAAUCUUGCGCAAUGGGCGAACGCCUGCCGCAGCCAUGCCGCGUGAAUGAUGAAGGUCUUAGGAUUGUAAAAUUCUUUCACCGGGGACGAUAAUGACGGUACCCGGAGAAGAAGCCCCGGCUAACUUCGUGCCAGCCGCCGCCGUAAGAC